UACGUAGGGGCCUAGCGUUGUCCGGAUUUAUUGGGCGUAAAGAGCGUGUAGGCGGCCCGAUAAGUCCGCUGUGAAAGUCAAGGGCUCAACCCUUGAAUGCCGGCGGAUACUGUCGGGCUAGAGUCCGGAAGAGGCGAGUGGAAUUCCUGGUGUAGCGGUGAAAUGCGCAGAUAUCAGGAGGAACACCUACGGCGAAGGCAGCUCGCUGGGACGGUACUGACGCUGAGACGCGAAAGCGUGGGGAGCAAACAGG
rnacentral:rRNA from 1 species